rnacentral:rRNA from 1 species
AUUGAACGCUGGCGGCAGGCCUAACACAUGCAAGUCGAACGGUAGCACAGAGAGCUUGCUCUCGGGUGACGAGUGGCGGACGGGUGAGUAAUGUCUGGGAAACUGCCCGAUGGAGGGGGAUAACUACUGGAAACGGUAGCUAAUACCGCAUAACGUCGCAAGACCAAAGUGGGGGACCUUCGGGCCUCACACCAUCGGAUGUGCCCAGAUGGGGUUAGCUAGUAGGUGGGGUAAUGGCUCACCUAGGCGACGAUCCCUAGCUGGUCUGAGAGGAUGACCAGCCACACGGGAACUGCGACACGGUCCAGACUCCUACGGGAGGCAGCAGUGGGGAAUAUUGCACAAUGGGCGCAAGCCUGAUGCAGCCAUGCCGCGUGUAUGAAGAUGGCCUUCGGGUUGUAAAGUACUUUCAGCGGGGAGGAAGGCGGUGAAGUUAAUAGCUUCACCGAUUGACGUUACCCGCAGAAGAAGCACCGGCUAACUCCGUGCCAGCCGCCGCUGUAA